UGCGUAGGGUGCGAGCGUUGUCCGGAAUUAUUGGGCGUAAAGAGCUCGUAGGCGGCCUGUCGCGUCGGAUGUGAAAGCCCGGGGCUUAACUCCGGGUCUGCAUUCGAUACGGGCAGGCUAGAGUUCGGUAGGGGAGAUCGGAAUUCCUGGUGUAGCGGUGAAAUGCGCAGAUAUCAGGAGGAACACCGGUGGCGAAGGCGGAUCUCUGGGCCGAUACUGACGCUGAGGAGCGAAAGCGUGGGGAGCGAACAGG
rnacentral:rRNA from 1 species